rnacentral:lncRNA from 1 species
ACAAGGGGAAGGAGAGAUGCCCUGAGGCUGACGAGGGGAAGGAGACUUCAUCUUCAGAAGGAGAGAUGCCCUGAGGCUGACGAGGGGAAGGAGACUUCAUCUUCAGAAGGAGAGAUGCCCUGAGGCUGACAAGGGGAAGGAGUGAUGCCCUGAGGCUGACGAGGGGAAGGAGACUUCAUCUUCAGGAGGAGAGAUUCCCUGAGGCUGAUGAGGGGAUGGAGAGAUGCCCUGAGGCUGACGAGGGGAAGGAGAGAUGCCCUGAGGUUGACGAGGGGAAGGAGAGAUCCCCUGAGGCUGAUGAGGGGCAGUAGACUUCAUCUUCAGAAGGAGAGAUGCCCUGAGGCUGACGAGGGGAAGGAGAGAUGUCCUGAGGCUGACCAGGGGAAGGAGAGAUACCCUGAGGCUGACGAGGGGAAGGAGACUUCAUCUUCAGAAGGAGAGAUGCCCUGAGGCUGAUGAGGGGAAGGAGACUUCCUCUUCAGAAGGAGAGAUGCCCUGAGGCUGACGAGGGGAAGGAGAGAUGCCCUGAGGCUGACGAGGGGAAGGAGAGUUGCCCUGAGGCUGAUGAGGGGAAGGAGAGAUCCCUGAGGCUGAUGAGGGGCAGGAGACUUCAUCUUCAGAAGGAGAGAUGCGCUGAUGUUGACGAGGGGAUGGAGAGAUGCUCUGAGGCCGACAAGGGGAAGGAGAGAUGCCCUGACACUGACGAGGGGAAGGAG